rnacentral:pre_miRNA from 1 species
UUUUAAAAAAUCAUCCAUUAGUACUAUUAAAAUUGAUGUGGAUGACAAAAUAAUCAAACAAUGACAUGUGGUAUGCUACGUGUACUUCAUACUAACAUGUAUGAAUCAAUUUUUAAUAGUAGAAAUAUAUGAAAAUUUUAAUA